rnacentral:rRNA from 1 species
GAUGAACGCUAGCGGGAGCUUAACACAUGCAAGUCGAGGGGCAGCAUAGGGUAGCAAUACUCUGAUGGCGACCGGCAAACGGGUGAGUAACGCGUAUGCAACCUACCCUGUACAGGGGGAUAACCCGGAGAAAUUCGGACUAAUAUCCCGUAAUAAUAUCCGGAGGCAUCUUUGGAUAUUUAAAGUUCCGACGGUACGGGAUGGGCAUGCGUAACAUUAGCUGGUUGGUAAGGUAACGGCUUACCAAGGCUAUGAUGUUUAGGGGUCCUGAGAGGGUGGUCCCCCACACUGGUACUGAGACACGGACCAGACUCCUACGGGAGGCAGCAGUGAGGAAUAUUGGUCAAUGGGCGCAAGCCUGAACCAGCCAUCCCGCGUGCAGGAAGACGGCCCUAUGGGUUGUAAACUGCUUUUCCAGGGAGAGAAACUUACGCACGUGUUGCGUGACUGACGGUACCCUGGGAAUAAGCAUCGGCUAACUCCGUG